CGUUAACAAACGCUUCCCCCCUCCCCAAAUCGGGCCGCUCGCCCUCAGCCCCGCUCCCCAGACUUCCAGGGAAAACAGUUUGGCUCCAUUGUCGGGUUGCCAAGACCGCCUUUUGAGAAAGGGAGCCCGGCUCGCCUCUGAUCAAACUCAAAGGCACCAAAAUGACAUUUUCUCCCAGGACCCUAAUGCACGUUCACAUCGUCUCUGGGUGCCUUCAGCCUUUCCCUGCACUCUCCUGCAAUGCUCUACUGCCUGCUGCUGCAAUUGAGACAAUGCACACCUAUCCUUGCAACCUCAUCGUUGAAGGAAACAGGAAGUUGAAAUUGGCUCCCUCAAUGAUGUGCCAGUGUAAAGUUUCCACCUACUUCUAAUAGCAAUGUGUAAAAUGUGAAUCAAGGGACACAGGAAGGACAAGGUUUACAAUGUCGGUGCAUUCUCUUAAAUCCUUCUCCUCUCUGCUCCGCAAACUCUUCUUUAUCUUCCAGCAUAUUGGACACCAUCAUCAACCUUGUGGCCAUAGCCAAUAAAUACUGAUGAGCUCAAGCUCAGAAGUUCAGAAACAGCUUUACUUCCUCUAGGAUCCUACACAACAAAGCUCUGAGGACAACUAUCUUCAGUGGCAAAUGGGUUAUUCUUGACUUUGCCAGUUUACCUGUCUAGUAUUCACUUGAACAGCAGUCGGCAAGAAACUGCCUACAGACCUCAUUCCUCUGAUUUGAUCAUCAUGCAUUUGAGAUUGUU
ensembl:lncRNA